AUGAACGCUAGCGACAGGCCUACACAUGCAAGUCAGGGGCAGCACAAGGAGCAAUCUGAGGUGGCGACCGGCGCACGGGUGAGUAACACGUAUGCAACCUGCCUGUAAGCGGGGAAUAACCCGUUGAAAGACGGACUAAUACCGCAUAAUACUAAAUUACUGCAUGGUAAUUUAUUUAAACAUUUAUGGCUUACAGAUGGGCAUGCGCAUGAUUAGCUAGUUGGAGAGGUAACGGCUCCCCAAGGCAACGAUCAUUAGGGGUUCUGAGAGGAAGGUCCCCCACACUGGUACUGAGACACGGACCAGACUCCUACGGGAGGCAGCAGUGAGGAAUAUUGGUCAAUGGACGAGAGUCUGAACCAGCCAAGUCGCGUGCAGGAAGAAUGUUCCCUAUGGAUUGUAAACUGCUUUUGCAGGGGAAUAAAGUGCAUCACGUGUGAUGUUUUGUAUGUACUCUGCGAAUAAGGAUCGGCUAACUCCGUGCCAGCCGCCGC
rnacentral:rRNA from 1 species